rnacentral:rRNA from 1 species
AAUGAACGUUGGCGGCAUGGAUUAGGCAUGCAAGUCGAGCGAGAACCCCGCAAGGGGGGACAGCGGCGAAAGGGACAGUAAUGUGUAGAUUAUCUGCCCUCAGGUCCGGGAUAGCUGCGGGAAACUGCAGGUAAUACCGGAUAACAUCUCCGGAUCAAAGGUGUGAUUCCGCCUGAGGAUGAGUCUGCAUCCUAUUAGCUAGUUGGUGGGGUAAUGGCCUACCAAGGCAUUGAUGGGUAGCAGGUGUGAGAGCACGACCUGCGUCAUUGGGACUGAGACACUGCCCAGACACCUACGGGUGGCUGCAGUCGAGAAUCUUCGGCAAUGGGCGCAAGCCUGACCGAGCGACGCCGCGUGUGGGAUGAAGGCCUUCGGGUUGUAAACCACUGUCAGAGGGGAUGAAAUGCAGGUGGGUUCUCCCAUCUGUUUGACAUAGCCUCAGAGGAAGGACGGGCUAAGUUCGUG